rnacentral:lncRNA from 1 species
GGUGUAGUGGAUGUAUUGCAGUAGUGGAGUUGGUGGUGUGCUGCAGUAGAGGAGUUAGUGGUGGGAGUAGGUGUAGGAAUAAAAAAUAAAAUAAAAUAAAAUAAGAUAAAAUAAAAUAAAAAGUCUUCCAGGUUGUACUAUGAAAACUGUAAUAAUCGUUCAGUGUUUGCUUAAAUAAAAGCUCGUAAAAAUGCUUUGAAUGCUAAAUUAAAUAAAUAUGCGACGCACAUAAAUUUAAUAACUAAAUUUAUAAAUGUUUUUUUUUAAACACUUUUGUUGGAAUUAAAAUAAACUCUUUUUCUCAAUCCGGCGUGAAUCAUCUUAAA